rnacentral:rRNA from 1 species
CCUACGGGCGGCAGCAGUGGGGAAUAUUGCACAAUGGGGGAAACCCUGAUGCAGCGACGCCGCGUGAGUGAAGAAGUAUCUCGGUACGUAAAGCUCUAUCAGCAGGGAAGAUAAUGACGGUACCUGACCCAGAAGCCGCGGCUAACUACGUGCCAGCAGCCGCGGUAAUCCGUAGGGGGCACGCGUUAUCCGGAUUUACUGGGUGUAAAGGGCGCGUAGACGGCAGCACAAGUCUGGAGUGAAAUCCCGGGGCUUAACCCCGGAACUGCUUUGGAAACUGUGCGGCUGGAGUGCAGGAGGGGUAAGCGGAAUUCAUAGUGUAGCGGUGAAAUGCGUAGAUAUUAGGAGGAACACCGGUGGCGAAGGCGGGUUACUGGACUGUAACUGACGUUGAGGCUCGAAAGUGUGGGGAGCAAACAGGAUUAGAUACCCUUGUAGUC